UUGGAGGGCAAGUCUGGUGCCAGCAGCCGCGGUAAUUCCAGCUCCAAUAGCGUAUAUUAAAGUUGUUGCAGUUAAAAAGCUCGUAGUUGAACUUCAGACCUGACCGGGCGGUCCGCCUAACGGUGUGUACUGUCUGGCCGGGCCUUACCUCUUGGUGAGCCGGCAUGCCCUUCACUGGGUGUGUCGGGGAACCAGGACCUUUACCUUGAGAAAAUUAGAGUGUUCAAAGCAGGCUUACGCCGGAAUACAUUAGCAUGGAAUAAUAGAAUAGGA
rnacentral:rRNA from 1 species